ensembl:lncRNA
CACAGAAUCACAGAAUUGCAGGGGCUGGAAGGGACCUCUAGAGAACAUUGAGUCCAACCCCACUGCUAAAGCAGGAUCCCUACACCAGGUCACACAGAAUAUUGCAAAUACCAAUCAGAUGUUCAACUCUUCCAGAGUUUCUAGAGGAAUCAGAAUUCCCUCACAGAUGCCAUCUACAUCCUGCCUACAGUGUGGCCAAAAGCCAUUUUGGAUUUCAAAGGUUUUCCCACCAAACUUCCACCUUCACAACAUGAUCACUACAUAAUGAGGUGGAAAAACCCAUUUUACCCAGUGCAUUCUAGAGAAUGAAGUGAAAAACCCCGCAGGUUUUUGGGGUGAAUCAGAAGAGAGAAUAAACUGAAAGCUGCCAUCUCAAAGUGAAAACCUCAGAUUUGCUGCCAUCAAAAACUCGGAGAAAGAUAAAAGGUGGAUUUGUCUUCAUGGCAUUUCACCUUCUUUAGCAACUGGUUCCUUUUCUGAGACAUUUGCACCUUUCUUGAAAACUUUGCCCUGCACUUACUUACCAUAAGUAAAUAGACUCAGUUAAAAUCAUGGAGAGAAAGUGGAGUAGAGCAGGGUAAGAGCCAAAAUGAAGGCUACAUUGGGAUUCCUUCCAAAGGGUGUCCAAAAGCUACUUACAUCUUUAUUGACUCUCCCAGAAAUUUUCUACUCUGGACUUCAAAUAUUUUGUUAUAGAAAUAACUUAUUCUAGAAAUCUAACAGGGCAGAACAAGCUAUCACUAAGUCUGUGAAUACCACUGCUGCAUAUGAGCUUUAUCUCACUUUUAUUCUUAGAUCACCACUGUUGUAGUAAUCCUAUUAGCAUCCUUUGCAAGCUGACAGCUCUGUCAGUGCCUAUGUACACAUUUUGGUAUUUCUCUGACCAAAAAUAUCUGAAAUCUCCUCAGACAUCAUUAUAAUCGAUGUUCAUUUUAGAGGACAGGAUGUUUUGUCAAUAACUUUGUGGUACAUUCUUGCCAGCGUUGAAAUCCAACUCUGCCAAGUAAAAUCUGUCAUUUAAAGGGCUACAUGAUGCUUCGCAGGAGGGGCUUGGCAAGGUUUGCCUUUUGUUCUACAGACAAAUUCCAAAGCUCCUGAAAUUUAUUAAGAUUCACAACUGAUACGCUGACCACUUAAAGGGGGCAUCAGAGAAGGUGCAAAGAUCAGAUUUAAAACCUAUUUAAAUAAAGUUCACUGAUGUUAGGUCAAGGAUUUGGAUUUUGCACAGUGUGUUCAGAAUAUAUUCAGAGUAGUUCUGCAAAUUCCAACUGACGAAACAGUAAGUGUCUAAAGAACGGUACUGAAAUAAGUCAAAAGCUGGAAGUAUACUAGCAUAUACCAAUGCUUUAUCAGUGACAUAGACGAUGGCAUUGAGUGCACCCUCAGCAAGUUUGCAGAUGACACCAAGCUGAGCGGUGCAGUCGAUACGUUGGAAAGAAGGGAAGCCAUCCAGAGGGACCUGGACAGGCUGGAGAAGUGGACCCAUGAAAACCAAAUGAGAUUCAAUAAGGCCAAGUGCAGGGUGCUGCACUUGGGUUGGGGCAAUCCCAAGUAUUUAUACAAACUGGGGGAAGAUCUCCUUGAGAGCAGCCCUGUGGAGAAGGACUUGGGGGUCCUGGGAGAUGAGAAGCUGGACAUGAGCCAGCAGUGUGCGCUUGCAGUCUGGAAGGCCAACUGUGUUCUGGGCUGCAUUAAAAAAGGGGUGGCCAGCAGGGAGAGGGAGGUGAUUGUCCCCCUCUACUCAGCUCGUGAGGCCCCAUCUGGAGUACUGCAUCCAGGCCUGGGGCCCCCAGUACAGGAAGGAUGUGGAGCUCUUGGAGCAGGUCCAGAGGAGGGCCAUUAAGAUGAUCAGAGGGCUGGAGCACCUCUCCUAUAAGGAAAGGUUGAGGGAACUGGGCUUAUUUAGUUUGGAGAAGAGAAGGCUCUGGGAAGACCUCACUGUGGCCUUCCAGUAUUUGAAAGGAGCAUAUAAACAGGAGCAAGAAUGGCUGUUUGCAAGGGUGGAUAGUGAUAGGACAAGGGGGAAUGGUUUUAAACUGAGACAGGGGAGGUUUAGGUUGGAUAUUAGGAAGAAGUUUUUCACCCAGAGGGUGGUGACACACUGGAACAGGUUGCCCAAGGAGCUUGUAGAUGCCCCAUCCCUGAAGGCAUUCAAGGCCGGGCUGGAUGUGGCUCUGGGCAGCCUGGUCUAGUGGUGGGUGACCCUGCACAUAGCAGGGAGGUUGAAACUCAAUGAUCAUUAUGGUCCUUUUCAACCCAGGCCAUUCUAUGAUAUAUAUGACAAAGGUAAAAUUGCUCUGUGAUGAUUUUGAAGACAGACACAGCAUCAACAAGCAGGACAACAGAUUAAGAAGGAGACAGAAUUGAAGAUAGACUUCCUUCACAUUUUAUUUUUUUCUCCCUCAUUUAUCAAGACAGGAUGUCCAGAUUUUAGAGAAAGGAGAGCAGCAAGUGGCUCUGCAGGGACAAAUGGGACAGACAGAUACCUCUGGCAACUGGCCCAAAGCAGAGGUUGGACCCCGUCUUUCUCCCUCCCAUCCAUUUCGUUUUGAAAGCUGCAAGAUUCUAGGGCUGCUUCCUGGUAGGCAGACAUACAGAAAAUGCUGUGUCUUCUAUGGAAAGGCAUCUGCUGCUAAAAUCAUGGACAAGACAAUAGUUCAGGGGCCCACAUUACAUCCAGACAUCACAGCCUCAAUAAGUGUCCUGAUGCUUCAGGAUGCAUACCUACUUCUUCAGGUUCAGAUUAUUCAGAUUGGAUAUUAGGAAAAACUUCUUCUCACAAAGAGUGGUAGUGCACUGGCGCAGGCUGCCCAGGGAGGUGAUGGAGUCACCAUCCCUGAGGUGUUCAAGAGCUGUGUAGAUGUGGCACUGAGGGAUAUGAUUAGUGGACAUGGUGGGGAUCGGUCACUGGUUGGACUGGGUGAUCUUAGAGGUUUUUUCUGACCUUGAUAAUUCUAUGAGUCUUCAUUUGGCACAUUUAACCCUGUACUCUUUUA